rnacentral:tRNA from 1 species
CAAAAUGUAGCUUAGUAAAGCCCUCCGCUUACACCGGAAAGACAUCUGUCAACGCAGAUCAUUUUGA